UCUAGAGAACUGCAGUAAAAUUGAUGCUUGUAGAAGCCAUAGCCUGAUUCCGUAAUUGGUAUGUCUCAAGCCACAAAAUUAAACUACCAAGGGUAGAUGUCAGACUGUUGUAUCGCUUCUCCCUCCCUUCAAGUAAACUUUUAUUCCAUUCCUGUUCUUUGCAGUUAAACUGUGUUGAUCAGGGCCACGAAGACAUGUAGCAACCUCAACCUCAAGAAACUGGAAAUCUUGUUGAGGAGGCAAGAAUCACAAGUAAAAAGUUGAAUAAGAAGUGAAAAAAAUGGUUUGAGAAUAUAAAAUAGAAAACUGCAGAGUGAGGAAGUUAGUGCACUAGUAAAUGUCAAGUGAAAUGUGUUUAUUCUUUGUUAACUGAACUGGGACUGGCAAGCCUGUUGCGACCCAACUUGCCAGAAGACUCUUCAACUGGGCAAAAUGUGCUUUCACUUUGUUCCAGGUCAGAUGGAUAAACCCUGCUGCUUGGGGACACAGCCUCCAUCUACUCUAUAACCAGCCCGCCGAUGACCAUUGUGAGUCAGCC
rnacentral:lncRNA from 9 species